GCAUAUCAAUAAGCGGAGGAAAAGAAACUAACAAGGAUUCCCCUAGUAACUGCGAGUGAAGCGGGAAAAGCUCAAAUUUAAAAUCUGGCGGUCUCUGGCCGUCCGAGUUGUAAUCUAGAGAAGUGAUGCCCGCGCUGGACCGUGUACAAGUCUCCUGGAAUGGAGCGUCAUAGAGGGUGAGAAUCCCGUCUCUGACACGGACUACCAGGGCUUUGUGGUACGCUCUCAAAGAGUCGAGUUGUUUGGGAAUGCAGCUCUAAAUGGGUGGUAAAUUCCAUCUAAAGCUAAAUAUUGGCGAGAGACCGAUAGCGAACAAGUACCGUGAGGGAAAGAUGAAAAGAACUUUGGAAAGAGAGUUAAACAGUACGUGAAAUUGCUGAAAGGGAAACGCUUGAAGUCAGUCGCGUUGUCCGGGAAUCAGCCUCACUUUUGUGUGGUGUACUUUCUGGUUGAAGGGUCAGCAUCAAUUUCGACCGCUGGAAAAAGGCUUAGGGAAUGUGGCAGCUUCGGCUGUGUUAUAGCCCUUUGUCACAUACAGCGAUUGGGAUUGAGGAACUCAGCACGCCGCAAGGCCGGGUUUCGACCACGUUCGUGCUUAGGAUGCUGGCAUAAUGGCUUUAAGCGACCCGUCUUGAAACACGGACCAAGGAGUCUAACAUGCCUGCGAGUGUUUGGGUGGUAAACCCGAGCGCGUAAUGAAAGUGAAAGUUGAGAUCCCUGUCGUGGGGAGCAUCGACGCCCGGACCUGAACUUUUGUGACGGAUCCGCGGUAGAGCAUGUAUGUUGGGACCCGAAAGAUGGUGAACUAUGCCUGAAUAGGGUGAAGCCAGAGGAAACUCUGGUGGAGGCUCGUAGCGAUUCUGACGUGCAAAUCGAUCGUAAAAUUUGGGUAUA
rnacentral:rRNA from 1 species